UUGGGAGCUCACUGGCUUCGAAGUAAUGGGAACUCCGAAGUUAAGAGAGUUGGGGCCAGAGCAAUCCCAGAAUGGGUGACCCAUUGGAAAGUUGUAAGUGAGUUCCCAAA
rnacentral:rRNA from 1 species